AAAUGGUUACUAUGGGAACACAGGCUGAGACCAACACAAGAUGGCUUCAAAGAGCAGACUGAAGCGUCAUGUUGUACUCUGAAAACAAGACAACCUUCAAGCCUACAACCAGGAAGCAAGCUUCUGGCCGUAGCAGAUAGUCAUUAAAUACUGUUGAAUGGAAGAAUGGAGGGACAAUUUUCUCAGCAUUCAAGGAGGAUCAUCAGAGCCCAAAGGGUCAAGAGACUUAGCCAAGGUUACACAGCCAGCAGGUUGGGGUUCUGCUGCCUGCUCCCACACGCUUCAUGGAUUCCAUGUCCCUCACCACACAGCAAGCAUCCGGUGCGAGGUACAGGCAGAGUCACAGGACUUCACAGGAGGGCGAAACUCACAUGACUAGAGUCAAGCCUCUGUAGUUUGCAUCCUGUCAACUGAAACGAACUUAUAAGGCACUUCAUUUCUUUUUUCAAUUCGACACAGUUGUCCUCAGCAAGAAUAAACCCCUAGGAAGCCCUGCAUAUGGAUCUACGUUGACAAAGCGAUAUGAAUAACUCAACAUCUUUUGAUUUUUGAUUUUUUAAUUAGCAUACAAAUAACCAGUUUCCUUAUGGUACUUUUAUACAUACUUAGUUCUUGUUGGCCCCUGCCCAUCCCCUUCUCCCCCAUCUCCCCAACACCAUCCCCACUCAUACCCUUCUGUCCCCAGUAGUCCUUGCUUUCUUAUCACAUGCAUCUAUUACCCUCCCACCCACCUCCCUUAAACCUCUUUUCACCUCUCUAGUUUCCUGACCUCUACUACACUCACUCCCAUAUACAUGCAUAUAUCUAAAACUUAGAAACCAGGAUCGUAGCAAAAGAGAGAGCAUGUGAUAUUUGUUUUUCUAAGCCUGGAUUACUUCCCUUCACAUAUUUACUAAA